rnacentral:rRNA from 1 species
CAAUAGCGUAUAUUAAAGUUGUUGCGGUUAAAAAGCUCGUAGUUGGAUUUCUGUUGGGAACGACCGGUCCGCCCAUUGGGUGUGUAUCUGGCUUGUUCUCGGCAUCUUCUUGGUGAACGUUGCUGCACUUGACUGUGUGGAGCGCUACCCAGGACUUUUACUUUGAGGAAAUUAGAGUGUUUCAAGCAGGCAUAUGCCUUGAAUACAUUAGCAUGGAAUAAUAAGAUAGGACCUCGGUUCUAUUUUGUUGGUUUCUAGAGCUGAGGUAAUGAUUAAUAGGGAUAGUUGGGGGCAUUCGUAUUUAACUGUCAGAGGUGAAAUUCUUGGAUUUGUUAAAGACGGACUACUGCGAAAACAUUUGCCAAGGAUGUUUUCAUUGA